GACAGAGGGUGCAAGCGUUGUUCGGAAUUACUGGGCGUAAAGCGCGUGUAGGCGGACUGGUAAGUCGGACGUGAAAUCCCUGGGCUCAACCCAGGAACUGCAUCCGAAACUAUCAGUCUGGAGUGGUGGAGAGGGAAGCAGAAUUCCUGGUGUAGAGGUGAAAUUCGUAGAUAUCAGGAGGAACACCGGUGGCGAAGGCGGCUUCCUGGACACUAACUGACGCUGAGACGCGAAAGCGUGGGGAGCAAACAGG
rnacentral:rRNA from 1 species